UGUCACCUCAUCUAAUAUAGAUCAUCAAGAUAGGUUGAAAGGGGAGUUCGUAGUCAUCUCUUCUAAUCAGGAGAUCCCUGAAAGCCGAACAUUUAAAUGUUCUCUUCUUGAAAUAAAAAUACCAUAGUUUUAGUUAGGAAUGUGCUAUGUUGAAAAUAACAGAAAAACUGACCUCUGUGGCUUAAACAAGUAAGGAUUUAUUUUCCUUCCGUAGCUGGAGGAAGGGAGGUGCAGCUUUGGCUCAGCUCUUAACAGUGCAACAUCUAGUGCCUCUAUAGUUCUCUUGGACACAGAUGGCUGCUUUCGAAGAAGAAAGAAGUGGAAAGUGAUGGAGUUUCUAUGCUCCAGCUCUCUUUGCCUGCUGCCAUCCACGUAAGAUGUGACUUGCUCCUCUUUGCCUUCUGCCAUAAUUGUGAGCCCCCCUCAGCCAUGUGGAAUGAUGGAAAACAGAACAAGCCAUGGAGGCCCCAGGGAUCAGGCAGGGCCAAGAGGAUCUGAUGGCGGAAGGGGGAGCACAUCAACAAGACCUUACAAGGCAACUUGCAUGGAUGCUCUGAAGCAACUUUGAGGUCUCCUUGAUGAGGAAAGUUGGCUCAACCUGCUGUAGAGUAGGCCCACAGCCAAGCCAUUGAGAGACAAGUCCAUGGGAGACAAAUUAGCUCAUGCAGCUGAGAUGUCCUGGAGAUUUUCCACAGCACCACUUGGCCAGUGCCUAGACAAGAAAAUGUAUUUUAAUGUAAAACAUACCAGGCUAUUCUUUGGUAUGACACCUGACGGGAAGCUUGGAUCAGGUUGAGUAUGGCAGAAAGUCUCAUGCAUCAUUCCUGUGCCUAAGUGACAAUCUCAGUUGAGACCUUCAGGUUUUCCCACCUUAUCUAUCUCAACGACUGGGUUCCUUUCCACUUUGCCAUUCCUCAUCCCUCCACUGACUGCCAUAUUGAUUUUUCAAAAUGUAAAUAUAAUUAUGUCACUCAUCUUCCAAAAGUUCUUAAGUAAUUGCUUAUAACCCACAAUAUGAUAGAAAAACUGAGAGUGGUGUAGAGGAUCCUUUAGGCCUUGGGCCUGCCUACCUGCUCAGCAUUAUCUGCUCUACCCUCAUUAACCCCCUCUGCACUGGCUAUACUGAGAAAUUUGGUAUCCCCCAAAGUUAUCAUGACAUGCUGCCCUUUUGGCUGGCCAGCUCUUGCUACCUGCUGCAAGAGAACAGCUACUCUCCCUUCAAGUCCAAAUGUUAUCUAUCCUGUUG
rnacentral:lncRNA from 10 species